UGAGGCUGCAGGUUAAAUAUAGGAUGGCAUACUAACUACCUUUUUUUAGCACUUGAUUGCCCUCUCUUUGAAUCAAAAUAUCAUUUUCUCUGUAAAACAUGAGAAAUAGGUAGAACAGCUGAGGCAGAAGGACAAAAUAGCCAGACAGGUGCUGAGAUUUUGGAAAGAAGACAAGAUGGCCAGACUGCUGCUGAACUUUCAGAUACAUCCAAACGUAGACUUGAUGUGAGCUUGCUCGAGUCUUGCAGUUCUGGAUUGUUUGGUUACUCCUUCAAUGUGCAGCAGAGCCUUCACACUCCUUAUUCCUCAAUCAGCUGUCCUCCUGGAUCCAGAUGGCAGCACAGGAUGGAAAUGAUGGAAGUCCGAGCAGAUGGAAAGCCAUGCAGGGUGGAGUAAAUGAGCAGGGUGCUACCGAGGGACCAAGACGGACAGCAGCAGCUGAAUGUCUCUCUCUCUCUCUCUCCCUCUGGAGAGUGGUAAUGGCCGUCCAUUCUGUGAGUCUGAAUGGCUGUUGCUUGGUCCUCAUUAGCAACAUCAUUGCAGCUUAGAUCUCAUCUAAUCUGCAAAACUGAAGAAGUAGUUGUGUUUUAAAAGGUUUCAGUCCCCAUCAACCAUCAUCGCUUGAACAUUCUGCUGCAGGCACCACGUUAAAAGAAAAUACUGGACUGUACACACAGGGGGGCAAUAAAAACCGCCACAGCCAGUCCGGCAAUACUGCAAGGCCACUGUGGGCUAGACUCACACACAGCUGAAGAAUAAGUCUAUGUACCAUUCCAACUCAGACACUUUGCUGACCUCUGUGUUUUGCUGAAAGGAAAACCGUGCAGAAAUUUCAGUUUAAAUAAUUUCAGUCUCUUUUGUUGUCCAAUGUCCUUCUGAAAAGGUCAUGUUUGUUUUUUCUGAGUUCAGACGUCUUUUGUAAAAUAAAUUAUCACAGAAGAUAAUAUAAGGUCCUGGCAGCGGUCUGCCCACGUCAGCAUCACCAGAAAGAGUAGAGGGCCAUCCAUCAACCGACCUCAUGCCCAUUCCUCAUUUCAAGCUUGUGUUUGGAGGCAGAAAAAA